rnacentral:rRNA from 1 species
ACUCUGACCCAGCCAUGCCGCGUGCAGGAAGACUGCCCUAUGGGUUGUAAACUGCUUUUAUACAGGAAGAAACACUAGUACGUGUACUAGCUUGACGGUACUGUAAGAAUAAGGACCGGCUAACUCCGUGCCAGCAGCCGCGGUAAUACGGAGGGUCCGAGCGUUAUCCGGAAUCAUUGGGUUUAAAGGGUCCGCAGGCGGUCGAUUAAGUCAGAGGUGAAAUCCCAUAGCUUAACUAUGGAACUGCCUUUGAUACUGGUUGACUUGAGUCAUAUGGAAGUAGAUAGAAUGUGUAGUGUAGCGGUGAAAUGCAUAGAUAUUACACAGAAUACCGAUUGCGAAGGCAGUCUACUACGUAUGUACUGACGCUCAUGGACGAAAGCGUGGGGAGCGAACAGGAUUAGAUACCCUGGUAGUCCACGCCGUAAACGAUGGACACUAGUUGUUGGGCAUUAGCUCAGUGACUAAGCGAAAGUGAUAAGUGUCCCACCUGGGGAGUACGAUCGCAAGAUUGAAACUCAAAGGAAUUGACGGGGGCCCGCACAAGCGGUGGAGCAUGUGGUUUAAUUCGAUGAUACGCGAGGAACCUUACCAGGGCUUAAAUGUAGUCUGACAGCUUUAGAGAUAGAGUUUUCUUCGGACAGAUUACAAGGUGCUGCAUGGUUGUCGUCAGCUCGUGCCGUGAGGUGUCAGGUUAAGUCCUAUAACGAGCGCAACCCUUGUCGUUAGUUGCCAGCAUGUAAAGAUGGGGACUCUAACGAGACUGCCGGUGCAAACCGUGAGGAAGGUGGGGAUGACGUCAAAUCAUCA